rnacentral:rRNA from 1 species
UACGUAGGGGGCUGGCGUUGUCCGGAAUCAUUGGGCGUAAAGCGCGUGUAGGCGGCUUGGCAAGUCUGCUGUGAAAGUCCAGGGCUCAACCCUGGAAUGCCGGUGGAAACUGUCAAGCUAGAGUCCGGAAGAGGCGAGUGGAAUUCCUGGUGUAGCGGUGAAAUGCGCAGAUAUCAGGAGGAACACCAAUGGCGAAGGCAGGUCGCUGGGACGGUACUGACGCUGAGACGCGAAAGCGUGGGGAGCGAACAGG